rfam:Methylobacterium sp. Leaf93 contig_6, whole genome shotgun sequence.
GGGUGUUCCAGGGAGAUCCCCGUCAAGGGGCUGAGAAACCGAUGAGCGUGGACCACAAGUCCGUGCGGCGCGGAAAUCCUUCGAACCUGAACCGGCUCAUACCGGCGUAGGGAUUGGACCGUGGGUUUUCC